UACGUAGGGAGCGAGCGUUGUCCGGAUUCAUUGGGCGUAAAGAGCUCGUAGGCGGCUUGGCAAGUCGGGUGUGAAAACUCCAGGCUCAACCUGGAGACGCCACCCGAUACUGCCAUGCUAGAGUCCGGUAGGGGACCACGGAAUUCCUGGUGUAGCGGUGAAAUGCGCAGAUAUCAGGAGGAACACCGGUGGCGAAGGCGGGUCUCUGGGCCGGAACUGACGCUGAGGAGCGAAAGCGUGGGGAGCGAACAGG
rnacentral:rRNA from 1 species